UGCGAACUCCUACGGGAGGCAGCAGUGGGGAAUAUUGCACAAUGGGGGAGACCCUGAUGCAGCCAUGCGCGUGUGUGAAGAAGGCCUUCGGGUUGUAAAGCACUUUCAGUAGGGAGGAAAGGGUAAGUCCUAAUACGACUUAUCUGUGACGUUACCUACAGAAGAAGGACCGGCUAACUCCGUGCCAGCAGCCGCGGUAAUACGGAGGGUCCGAGCGUUAAUCGGAAUUACUGGGCGUAAAGCGUGCGCAGGCGGUUUGUUAAGCGAGAUGUGAAAGCCCUGGGCUCAACCUAGGAAUCGCAUUUCGAACUGACCAACUAGAGUCUUGUAGAGGGGGGUAGAAUUCCAGGUGUAGCGGUGAAAUGCGUAGAGAUCUGGAGGAAUACCGGUGGCGAAGGCGGCCCCCUAGACAAAGACUGACGCUCAUGCACGAAAGCGUGGGGAGCAAACAGGAUUAGAUACCCGAGUAGUCCAGAUG
rnacentral:rRNA from 1 species